UACGGGGGGGGUAAGCGUUGUUCGGAAUUACUGGGCGUAAAGGGCUCGUAGGCGGCCAACUAAGUCAUACGUGAAAUCCCUCAGCUUAACUGGGGAACUGCGUGUGAUACUGGAUGGCUUGGAUUUGGGAGAGGGAUGCGGAAUUCCAGGUGUAGCGGUGAAAUGCGUAGAUAUCUGGAGGAACACCGGUGGCGAGGGCGGUUCUCUGGGCCUUACCUGACGCUGAGGAGCGAAAGCGUGGGGAGCGAACAGG
rnacentral:rRNA from 1 species